rnacentral:piRNA from 1 species
GUACCACCACCUUCUGGGCAGUAG